CCUUUGACUAAGGGACAUCACAGAGCUGGAGUUGAGGCUGAAAGUUGCACUAGGGCUUCUGGGCAAAGAGAUGAGCAACUGGAACCUUCCUUUGUUUUCUUCUGAAGCUCAGGGCCUGUGAUGACCGUGAUGAUAACACCUUGCGGUGAUCUUAGCCCAGAGAACAAGGAUGCCGACCGUGCUCAGAGGUCAGAAGAUGCUGCCCCUGCUUAUCCGGUCCCAGCACUGCGCCUUGCUUCUGCGUGCUCAGGGUCCACCUCAGCUUCAUCCUGGCUCCACUACUUACUAGCCAUGAUGCGAUCCUGGGGCAGGGACGCAGCGCACUGUGGAUGCUGACAGCUGUUUAGUAGAAGGCACCCAUUCGCUUCCGCCCUCACUGAAGUCAUACUGUCCACUGAGAGUCACACAGUGUAUCUGUGCAAGCCGCUCCGCGUUCCACCUCCA